rfam:Corynebacterium lipophiloflavum DSM 44291 genomic scaffold SCAFFOLD6, whole genome shotgun sequence.
ACUCAGGCACGAUCCGCCUAACGAAUAGCCGCGCGGAACCGACCUGUAGUUCAAUCCUGAGGGA